rnacentral:rRNA from 1 species
AUUGAACGCUGGCGGCGGGCCUAACACAUGCAAGUCGAGCGGAUGAAGAGAGCUUGCUCUCUGAUUUAGCGGCGGACGGGUGAGUAAUGCCUAGGAAUCUGCCUGGUAGUGGGGGAUAACGUUCCGAAAGGAACGCUAAUACCGCAUACGUCCUACGGGAGAAAGCAGGGGACCUUCGGGCCUUGCGCUAUCAGAUGAGCCUAGGUCGGAUUAGCUAGUUGGUGAGGUAAUGGCUCACCAAGGCUACGAUCCGUAACUGGUCUGAGAGGAUGAUCAGUCACACUGGAACUGAGACACGGUCCAGACUCCUACGGGAGGCAGCAGUGGGGAAUAUUGGACAAUGGGCGAAAGCCUGAUCCAGCCAUGCCGCGUGUGUGAAGAAGGUCUUCGGAUUGUAAAGCACUUUAAGUUGGGAGGAAGGGCAGUAAGUUAAUACCUUGCUGUUUUGACGUUACCGACAGAAUAAGCACCGGCUAACUUCGUGCCAGCCGCCGCCGUAAGAC